ACAAACUUGGUCAUUUAGAGGAAGUAAAAGUCGUAACAAGGUUUCACCUAUGUAAGCCUGAGUGAAGACUAUAAACUCGCUAGUCAGUUCGCUGGCAACAUUGCUAGUCUGCUGGGCAACCAGCAGCCGCUCUGCGGUUCACAGACUAAAUGGCAGUGGGUGCUCUGCACUUCAGAUAUAGCCGAGAGCAGUCCGCAGGGACUGAUACGCUCGUUCCGUAGGUGAACCUGCGGAAGGAUCAUUACAAGUUGUACCCUUCGGGGCACUUCCACCCUUGAAAACAUACCUGUGCUUGGCGCUUCGGCGUCAAUAUUUACUCUGAUACGGUUGUCUGAGUGAAACAAAAUAGCAAAAACUUUCAACAAUGGAUCUCUUGGCUCGAGCAUCGAUGAAGAACGCAGC
rnacentral:misc_RNA from 1 species